ACAAACUUGGUCAUUUAGAGGAAGUAAAAGUCGUAACAAGGUUUCCGUAGGUGAACCUGCGGAAGGAUCAUUACAGAUUAUUUUCAAAAAUAAAAUUGGGUUAGGUUGUUGCUGGUUUUCUUUUUCUUUCUUCAAAGAGGAAAAAAACAUGUGCACAUUUAACUCCAGUUUUUUUUGAUCACCUGUGCAUCUUGCGUAGAUUAUUGAACAUUUUAUUUCUCAGUUGAGAUUUUUUUUUUCUUUCAACUGGAUUGAGAAAGAUGUCUCAAACAGGUGUAGACUCUUCUUGUGCAGAAAAAAGUUCAGAUCUAUGUUACUUUUUUAAAACACACACACACAUUGUUAUUUGGAAUGAUUAAUGAAUAAUAAUAAAAAUUCAAUUGUAAAACAACUUUCAACAACGGAUCUCUUGGCUCUCGCAUCGAUGAAGAACGCAGC
rnacentral:misc_RNA from 1 species